UACGGAGGGGGCUAGCGUUGUUCGGAAUUACUGGGCGUAAAGCGCACGUAGGCGGCUUUGUAAGUUAGAGGUGAAAGCCCGGAGCUCAACUCCGGAAUUGCCUUUAAGACUGCAUCGCUAGAAUUGUGGAGAGGUAAGUGGAAUUCCGAGUGUAGAGGUGAAAUUCGUAGAUAUUCGGAAGAACACCAGUGGCGAAGGCGACUUACUAGACACAUAUUGACGCUGAGGUGCGAAAGCGUGGGGAGCAAACAGG
rnacentral:rRNA from 1 species